ACAUCAACACAAACAUUCACAACAGCACAAGAGUCAAGAACAUUACACAACAAUGCUCACCCAACAAACACAGAACAUUCCUGUGACGUUAGUUUUAAACAUGAUCAUGAUGAUAAUACCCUGAUUUACAAUAAAACAAAUACAUUUUUGGAGGGUCCUGUAAUACAGAUAAUUAUAAUUAUAAAAUUGAACAUUUUUUUAAUAAAUUUAAAUAAAGUCGUUUGCCGUUGCUAUUUACAAUAAUUAUUUCAGACAUCUAACUGCAUAAACUAGAGAACUAUGAAAUCCGUUUUAUUUUUUCCCAAAUUCCAUUUUUAUUUUUCUGGAUUCUGUGUUUUCUUUUUUUGUGGUGUACAACUAUAUUAAUAUGAACCAGUGUCUUAUAUCUUAUGUUUUUUCUUUUGCUGUCUUAAGUCUACUUACAUUUAAUUACUAGGUUUGUUACUUGUUUGAAGCAGUUUUGUCAUGCGGUUAACUGGACUUUUAUUUUGACGACGGACUUUAAUUUUGAUGGCUUGACGCUUUAUGUGUUCGCGUCCAACAGAUGCUAAAAGUCCACUACAUGAAGUGAAUGAUGGCAGAUCUUCAACAGAAACCUUAAGAUGACUCCACAUCUCUCACAUCAUCAUCUACAAUAAUCAUACAGACGGGCAAACGGACGGGCAGAGGAAACGUCUCUGUUCUUCAUCAGUCUGAAGAGACAGGUGAAGGUGGUGAGGAUUAUCAAGACGCCGAUGACAGCGCCCACCGCUAACGCCAGCUCGCUACAUUGCUCGUGAGCUA